GUAGGGGGCAAGCGUUAUCCGGAUUUACUGGGUGUAAAGGGAGCGUAGGUGGAUUGUUAAGUCAGUUGUGAAAGUUUGCGGCUCAACCGUAAAAUNGCAGUUGAAACUGGCAGUCUUGAGUACAGUAGAGGUGGGCGGAAUUCGUGGUGUAGCGGUGAAAUGCUUAGAUAUCACGAAGAACUCCGAUUGCGAAGGCAGCUCACUAGACUGUCACUGACACUGAUGCUCGAAAGUGUGGGUAUCAAACAGGAUUAGAUACCCUGGUAGUCCACACAGUAAACGAUGAAUACUCGCUGUUUGCGAUAUACAGUAAGCGGCCAAGCGAAAGCAUUAAGUAUUCCACCUGGGGAGU
rnacentral:rRNA from 1 species